UGCAAAGUUUGCCCCUUGAAAACUCUUUAAAGACUUUAAACUUUGCACAGACGCUUUAAGCAACCCCAGUUGCUGUUUCCACAUGAGAAGGUCUUAAAGAUAAAUGGAUGUUUGUAAUCACGCAGGCGCUGAUGAACGGCAUGCACUGCCAUACAGGUAAGUAGCUUUAUUCAAUAUAAGGGCAUUUCCAUUUACAAAGCAUGAGGCUGCCCUGGGCAAGUGCACUGCAGGACUCACCUAUGUCUGUCUACAGUUUCUCAGAGCAUCAUUUCUCCUGUGCUCAGUGCUGCAAUUAGCUUGAUUUAUAGGAGUUAUCAUUAACUCUCCCUUUUCCUCAGUGCCCAUCUUUGGGAAGGUCUGACAACAGAACACCAGAUCUAACAGGAGAGGAAAGUGGUCCAGCAGCUGGAAUCUGCUCCUUGUGAUGCCAUAGAUGUCACCAGGAGGAGCAGAAUCCCUAAGCAGUGAGAUGGUUUGGCUCAGCAGCACCACAUGUGAUGCAAAAUGUCCUGUUUUCCUCCAGAGAUGAGGAGGAUCACCCCAGGAUGCAGAAGCCCCAGCUGCCAUGCAGAGCUCAGCAUUGACCAUGGGAUGCAGAAGCCCCAUAUCCCAAUCAGGAUCUCAGCACCAACCAAGGCUGUGGAACAUGAGCCGAGUCUGCAGAGGAAAUCCUGAGAUUUACACAGGCCCCAGUGGAUUACAGAAACCUGGAAACUGGACAGAUAACACUCAUGUAACAGACUCAAAACAUGCUGAGGAGAAAAAAAAAGUAAAAAAAAAUCACAAUAGAUUAAAACCUGCUGUUCUCUGCAAAAUGUAAAAGUG
rnacentral:lncRNA from 1 species